rnacentral:lncRNA from 1 species
AUGGGCUUUGCAGAUGCUGCUGCCACCAGGAGCCUUGUACUAUCAGCCACAGUCAACCCCAAGGGGUUCUGCAACAUUGCCAUCGACGGCGAGCCCUUGGGCUGAGUCUCCUUCAAGCUGUUUGCAGACAAGUUUCCAAAGAGAGGAGAAAACUUUUGCGCUCUGAGCACCAGGGAGAAAGAAUUUGGUUAUAAGGGUCCCUGCUUUCACGGCAUUAUUCCAGGGUUUGUGUGUCAGGGUGGUGACUUCACACGCCAUAAUCACACAGGUGGAAGUCCAUCUACGAGGAGAAAUUUGAUGAUGACAACUUCAUUCUAAAGCAUACAGGUCCUGGCAUCUUGUCCAUGGCAAAUGCUGGACCCAACACAAACGGUUCCCAGUUUUUCAUCUGCGCUGCCAAGACUGAGUGGUUGGAUGGCACGCAUGUGGUCUUUGGCAAGGAGAAAGAAGGCCUGAUUAUUGUGAAGGCCGUGGAGCGCUUUGGGUCCAGGAAUGGCAAGACCAGCAAGGAGAUCACAAUUGCCGACUGUGUUUUAUCUU